rnacentral:rRNA from 1 species
ACAUCCAGCGAACUUGGCAGAGAUGCCUUGGGUGCCUUCGGGAACGCUGAGACAGGUGCUGCAUGGCUGUCGUCAGCUCGUGUUGUGAAAUGUUGGGUUAAGUCCCGNAACGAGCGCAACCCUUAUCCUUUGUUGCCAGCGAUUCGGUCGGGAACUCAAAGGAGACUGCCGGUGAUAAACCGGAGGAAGGUGGGGAUGACGUCAAGUCAUCAUGGCCCUUACGAGUAGGGCUACACACGUGCUACAAUGGCGCAUACAAAGAGAAGCGACCUCGCGAGAGCAAGCGGACCUCAUAAAGUGCGUCGUAGUCCGGAUCGGAGUCUGCAACUCGACUCCGUGAAGUCGGAAUCGCUAGUAAUCGUGGAUCAGAAUGCCACGGUGAAUACGUUCCCGGGCCUUGUACACACCGCCCGUCACACCAUGGGAGUGGGUUGCAAAAGAAGUAGGUAGCUUAACCUUCGGGAGGGCGCUUACCACUUUGUGAUUCAUGACUGGGGUGAAGUCGUAACAAGGUAGGCGUAGCGAG